GUGAAUCGGGUUCUGUAUCUUGCUGCUGGAGAAGGCUGCUUCUCCGAUAGCUCCUGCAGGAAACGGUCUGAUCCCGAAAGCGACUAAGUGACUUUGCUCUUGGCCUCUAUAGGACUGCCACUUGCCCAUACCUUGCUGGUGCCCGGCGGUGUAAAGGGGGCUCCCCGCGGUCGUAAGAUGCCGGUCCGCGUCAAGCGACAUUGGUUCCUUCCCCUUGGAACACUUUUUAGAGAACGGGCUUUCUGCCAUUCCUGUUGUUCUCAUGCCUACGAAUGGGUCUACCAUAAGCUCUAAAAACCCUCAGAUACUUAUUCAGUGCCUCGAGGGCGUAACUCCCAAUUUUAAGGAUAUUAAUGAGGUACGUCAGUAUGGGAAAGACGGCAUCGUUUGUAGGUCCUCUGACAUGAACGUGGUUCGCUCUUUGCUUCAAACCUCUACAUUCGGAGGCCUUCCUGUCAAGUCCUACAUUCCACAUCACUUAGCCUGCGUCAAAGGGGUGGUGAAGGGGGUUGAUGUCUCGUUGCCUGCCAGUGAGCUCCUUGACCUUUUCUCCCAUCUCGGGGUGCUUGAAGCUUACCGGUGUAGCGCACCCGGUAACGACAGUCGUGUAGCUACAGAGUCAGUCAUAGUGACCUUCGCGGGGCACACCUGCCCUUCGGAGAUAAAGUCGUGGCCGCUGAUAUUUCGCGUGGACUUGUUCAGGCGUAGGCCGCUGCAGUGCAAGCGCUGCUACCGCUUUGGCCACAUCACUAAGCACUGUAAGUCCGAGAUGCGCUGCCGGCGCUGCGGUGAUUCCCCCAUGACGAAUCUGCUUGUUCCCCUGAUUCCUCUUUGAAGUGUUGUUUAUGUGGAGGCGAUCACAAUGCUGAUUUCCCGGCUUGUCCCUGUCGCGAUCAGGAAAUAUCUCUCUUGGAUCUUAUGGACUGCGGCGGGAUAAGUCAACACCACCUAGAUAACACAAGGCCUCUUCAUGCUUCCCUCUCCCUGCGUGUGACAUAACGCUAUAGUUGCCCGAGCCUGAUCCCGAGUCCGAUGGCCCGAUACAUGCUGAUGCAAGCGUUGUGCAACUUGCCGGUCAUCUCUUCAUGCUUCUAGAGUCUGUUUCGUGAGAUUUUGGCCUGUGCGUCGCGUACUGCAUUGUCAGUUUUCUCGAGUGACAGUUCCACAGGGCCGGUGCUGCGUUCCUCGCUGUCGAGACAACGACGAGGGCCCAAUAGUGCAUGUGUUCUCGUUCCCAGAUGAAACUCUCAAGGAAUAAUAGCUGAAGGCGAUUCCACGCGCAGAUUUUAAACCGAGCAUUCGCUCCAAGUUCUGCGAAUGGCAUUUUCAGCAAUCGGAAUUGUCGCUAAACUCACGCACAGCGAUGGGAAGAUGACUGAAAUCGAAAGCGAUCGACUACGAUUGGUGCCAGGUGCUGUGCCUUCAGUUUAUUCAAACUGCCCGGCCUACAUGUCAUCUACGCGUGCUCGUCGCGAAUCAACGAAUUCCAAACGCGCCAGGACGAAGAACACGACCCUUCAGAAAGCCCUAGAAAAUUCACUAGGAACCAGAAGAGAAGAAGUGAUGAAGAAUUCAGUGUUUUCUAUGACGACUUAAAAGCAAGUUAGGAGGCAUCUGCAACACCAAUUUUGGACAAUGAGUGUGACCGACAAGUGUGUGAUGUUUCUCCACAUUGAAAGCAACCCAUCGUCGCACUUAAGGUUUUAUGUAACCAUUUAAGUGUUCGAAGGAGUAAAGUAGUAUUUCCAACGUUCGGAUAAAUAUAUAAACUUGGAAGUGCUUCAUUCAUCAGUUGGCCUUGUUCCUGAGUUGAAGCUAAAUUCCAUUACGUUCGUUAAAACAUCGCUUUCAACAAUAAGAGUGCGACGUCGCUUGCUUAGGCACGCUCUGGCGACCGUCCAAGUACCAGAGGGAAGCAGCGGAGGGACAACUAGCGUGACGUCACGGCAUGCAUGAAGAGGCCUUGUUUUAUCUAGGUGGUGUUGGGUAAGUCAAAGCGUUCGCGACACAGUGUCAUCAACUUUUACAAUUGCAUUCGGGUUCAGUGCCUGCAAGAUAAUACGAAGCCUUUGCGAAAAGCGAAUCUAUUAUCAAAUGCCGCGAUGCAAAUGGAGGAUUUUACAAGCAUGAUGUGCAGGCGAAGUCUACAUGAACUUCUGCUCAUUCGACAUCAUUGCAAGAACUGGUAGAAGAAAAUAAUUGCGUUGCCGUGGUAGUUGAACAUAUCAUGUGAUAAGAUUUUAUAUACUUUCCAUCUCAGAUAUGUGUAAUUUCAACAAAUCCGUAAUAAAUCUAGCGAUAUAGACCGCUUGUAUGUGAUAAUUUGAUCUGACUGCUUUCUUGAUGAACGCAAUGCCCAUUGCAAUGAUUACAAUUACAUGUGGUCUAGUGUAUUUCAAUUCUUCGUUAGCAAACCUCAAAAACUCCGCCAUCAAUCCCAGCGGCCAUUCCGUUGUUGACGUGCAAAUAUUUUUAUAACUAUUGUAGAUUCGGCAUACAAGUUCUUGCACCUUCAAUUCCGUAAUUUGUACCAUAUCUCCGAAUACGACCAUGUCUAAGACGUAUUGAAAUGCAGCGAUAAUGGAAUCGUUUCGCGGCUCUUCCUUUUCGAAGCAGUUUUUUAUCACAUCUUCCCAUGACUUAUGGUAUCGAGUACAAAAUCUGUCCAUCUCUUCAAUGUAUAGCAAUUGUCUCUUCUGUUUUCAAGUGCGCGUCUACACUUAUGUAUGCUCAUUUUAUUGAUUAAAAUUUUAUUGUCUGGUUUAGAAUGCUAUAAUAUCCACCUGUCGUGAGAAUUAUGGAAAUUGAUUUACAAAACGACAUGAUGAGCAAGAAAAAACGUGUGCUUUCAACGAUUCUGUAUUCACGCUGCUUGUUUAGAAAUGAUUUGUCUGAAUUAAUUAUUCUUUUGACUUUGUUUCAAGUAUUCACUCGACUGAUAUUCUAUGAGUUGUGAAGUUACUACUUGAAAUAAUUAUUGUCUUGUAUUUGUUUCAAUUGUUCACUCGAUUGACAUAAGUAAAAAUAAUCGCUAAGAUGGGAAUGCCUGAUAUAUCUGAGUUGCAUUUCACAUUUGAUAUUUCUGUGUGGUUCAUCUACAAGGUGUCCCAGAAAACGUGUCAUUGAAUUAUAAUAAAAAAACUACACCACCUAGAGUCAUGCGGUCAAUGACAUUUGUUCUUACUGGGUUUUUGCCACCUCCUCGUGUGAAUGUCGUGUAACGUAAGUUUAAUUAUGUAAAUUUUUGCAAGCUUAAGUCAGAA